GAGCCGCCAUCUUCUCGCGCCUAACGUUUUGUAUGGCUUUGUUCUCUGCAAUCCGCGCACGCAGCUCAUCGGUGGAUGCACGUCUGCUCGGCGUCGCAAUGCGGCCUGCGUCAUUUUUUGGUGUUCGCGCAAUCGGUGUGAAGCAUGUCGCAUGUUAAAUGUUUGAUAGAAGUGCCUCACGUCCAAGUCAAGCCACCGUACGGGUGUAUGGCUGUGCGCCCCGUUCUCGGAAGCGUCGACGGGUUUCCGGCAUGCGGAUUUCAGCGUUUGGACUCUACUUUUGGUGAGGAUGUCGAUCGACCUUGGGCCUGGCGACAGCACACCCGACAUCGCCAAAGUGCAGCCUAUCAGUUGAGUGCCCCCAAAUGGACCAUCAACAUUGGAAAAUGAAGCAAAGCCAGGGGGAAAAGGUUCCGGUAACACUGCAUUCAGUAUGGUGGCCCAGACGUGUAUGCAAGCAACCUCCUUCAUGUGGACCAAGAACUACUCUGCAGUGUCUCACAGACUUCCAUGCGAAGCCCUCAACAUUCUCGUCUCAGUGGAAUGGCUGCUCAUCUAUCUGCGUGUCCAUCACCAAGAUGGCCAGUUGUAAAGCUCCUGUACCCGUUUAAGACAGCUUAAUGAUUUUUUUUAUUUAGUUUUCAUGGUUAGCCGUAGAAUCUUAACAUUUUUGAUGUUUCUAAUGUUUUUACCUGGCCCAAAGUGGUGCAAUAAAUUUAAACCAGUGUAAUGUAUUUAAGUGAUGCUCACUCUAAUGCCUAUCUGGUUUUGUUUGUGUUUAAGAAAUUUGAAUGUCUGAUGAGGUAACAGCAUUUAAACUUGUCAUCGUGGCUCUUUUCAGUGAGCUGCUAGGAAAUAAGAUGCAAAACUUAUCACACGCCAGUUGUAGCAUUUUUGUUUUCAAGACUAAAGUAUACAUGUUUCAAAAGAUGGAAAGUGGGGAAAAAAGCCUCAAGAACAUAAUCAUCCUAGGAUUGUCAUGUCCUUACAACUCUGCAAUGACUAAUGCCUCAUACAUCUUGGGAGCACAUUGGUCGCAAUGCCUACAGGUAUACUUGAUAAGAGAAUAGCUUGCACUCAGAUUUGCCACGCAGUUGAUGGCUGAUAGCUUUUGUUUGUCGUCUUCAUGUUACUACUAUGUAUUCAAUAUUCAUUUACAUGUGCUGCGGUU